rnacentral:rRNA from 1 species
UACGAAGGGGACUAGCGUUGUUCGGAUUUACUGGGCGUAAAGCGCGCGUAGGCGGAUCGCUAAGUCAGGGGUGAAAUCCCAGGGCUCAACCCUGGAACUGCCUUUGAUACUGACGGUCUGGAGAUCGGGAGAGGUUGGUGGAAUUCCGAGUGUAGAGGUGAAAUUCGUAGAUAUUCGGAGGAACACCAGAAGCGAAGGCGGCCAACUGGCCCGAUACUGACGCUGAGGCGCGACAGCGUGGGGAGCAAACAGG